rnacentral:rRNA from 1 species
UACGUAGGGGGCAAGCGUUGUCCGGAUUUAUUGGGCGUAAAGCGCUCGCAGGUGGUUCGUCGCGUCGUGCGUGAAAGACCCCGGCUCAACUGGGGAGUGUCGUGCGAUACGGGCGGACUGGAGGCCAGUAGGGGGAUGCGGAAUUCCGGGUGUAGUGGUGGAAUGCGUAGAGAUCCGGAGGAACACCAGCGGCGAAGGCGGCAUCCUGGACUGGUCCUGACACUCAGGAGCGAAAGCGGUGGGAGCGAGUCGG